rnacentral:lncRNA from 1 species
CAACCUCAUCCCAAAAACAUUUUUUUUCUUUUGAGAUAGAGUCACACUCUGUUGCCCAGGCUGGAGUGUAUACCGAUCUGAGCUCCCUGCAGCCUCCACCUCCCAAGUUCAAACGAUUCUCCUGCCUCAACCUCCCGAGUAGCUGGGAUUACAGGCACAUGCCACCACACCUGGCUAACAAAAACAUUUUGAAAAGGGUUAAAUAAAUCAUGCACAAACUGGGGAAAAAUACUGUUUUCAAAAAUGAUGGAGAGGAUCACUAUGAUGAUGACUGAUUCCACUGGUCACAUUAUUGAUAGAACAAUCAGUAAAUCCAGUAACAUUCUGGAGAUACUACUGGACUCCUAUUACUAAAAUAUGAAAAAAUGGAGGCAUGUAAAUUACUCAUCUAAGCGUAUAACGGACUGAAUUAGAAUUUUAUCACACCAGAAGUAGGUUCCUAGGUCUCUGUUUCAGCUUUCCUGUGUUACACAGGUGUAACCCCGCCAUUUCAGGAGAUACCCGGUUUAGAAUCUGGUCGGGAAUGUGGGCUGGCCCUUGACAUGGAACAGUCAUAAAUUAGUGGCUUGGGACUGGCCCGCGACAUGGAUCAGUCAUAAAUUAGUGGCUUGAUACUAAGGGAAGAUAACAUUUCCCCCAUUUGUCUAGUGAUUGUCAAUGCGUGAAUGCUUUAAAAGUUGCAAUAAGCGUCCCUGGGUGGGCUCGAACCACCAACCUUUCGGUUAACAGCCGAACGCGCUAACCGAUUGCGCCACAGAGACAGGGAGUGCUAGUUCUACUACGCGAUAUAUGAAGGGCGCACUCACUAAACUUCCUCUGUCCCGUUUAUUCUCAGGGCCCGCCCGGCAGGACGACUCAGCAAGGCCUUGGAAAACCAGAGAGAUUAGAGCGCAGAAUGGGGAAAUGGAGAGAGAACCUGAAAGAGCCCCAAACUCGAGGACCUGUUGCUCCCAUAGAAUAACAUCUUCCAGAACUAGACAGAAACCUAGGCGUCUGGGAACCCUGAAAUCCAUGGAGGAGUAGCAUCAUCAUGACCCUCUGUGUUCCUUUUUGCAAAGGACUUGCUUCCAUUGUUUGUUUGUUCAAUUGUCUGUUAAAUAAAUAAAUAAAACCCUUUUCAUAUCUCUUUAAAAUUACUUUGGUUCUAUUAUUUUAUGAUUACAAAUAAUGCUGCAGUCAUCAUUCUUGUACACUUCUCAUUGCCCACUG